CCCAUACGAUCACUGAAGUUAAGCAACAUUGAGACUAGUCAGUACCUAAAUGGGUGACCACUUGGGAAUACCAGGUGCUGUAAG